rnacentral:ncRNA from 2 species
AUAAAAUUAAUACGUUUCACUCAUAUAAUCGCGGGAAUAUGGCUCGCAAGUUUCUACCAGAUUGCCGAUAACAAUCUGACUAUGAGUGGGUAAUGAAAAGUC